UACGUAGGGCGCAAGCGUUAUCCGGAAUUAUUGGGCGUAAAGAGCUCGUAGGCGGUUUGUCGCGUCUGCCGUGAAAGUCCGGGGCUCAACCGAGAAACGUCGGCUGAUACUGCCGUUCUUGAGGGAUGCAGAGGAGACUGGAAUUCCCGGUGUAGCGGUGAAAUGUGUAGAGAUCGGGAGGAACACCGGUGGCGAAGGCGGGUCUCUGGGCAUCUCCUGACGCUGAGGCGCGAAAGCGUGGGGAGCGAACGAGG
rnacentral:rRNA from 1 species